GGAAGGUGCAAGCGUUAAUCGGAAUUACUGGGGCGUAAAGCGCGCGUAGGCGGCUAGAUAAGUCGGGUGUGAAAGCCCUGGGGCUCAACCUGGGGAACUGCAUUCGAUACUGUCUAGCUAGAGUGUGGUAGAGGGAGGCGGAAUUCCGCAUGUAGCGGUGAAAUGCGUAGAGAUGCGGAGGAACACCAAUGGCGAAGGCAGCCUUCUGGACAACACUGACGCUGAGGCGCGAAAGCGUGGGGAGCAAACAGGAUUAGAUACCCUGGUAGUCCACGCCGUAAACGAUGUCAACUAGCCGUUGGGAGCAUUUUGGCUCUUGGUGGCGCAGCUAACGCGAUAAGUUGACCGCCUGGGGAGUACGGUCGCAAGAUUA
rnacentral:rRNA from 1 species